rnacentral:rRNA from 1 species
GACGAACGCUGGCGGCGUGCCUAAUACAUGCAAGUCGAGCGCAGGAAGCCGUCUGAACCCUUCGGGGGGACGACGGUGGAAUGAGCGGCGGACGGGUGAGUAACACGUAAAGAACCUGCCCAUAGGUCUGGGAUAACCACGAGAAAUCGGGGCUAUACCGGAUGCGUUAUCGGACCGCAUGGUCCGCUGAUGAAAGGCGCUCCGGCGUCGCCCAUGGAUGGCUUUGCGGUGCAUUAGCUAGUUGGUGGGGUAACGGCCCACCAAGGCGACGAUGCAUAGGCGACCUGAGAGGGUGAUCGGCCACACGGGGACUGAGACACGGCCCAGACUCCUACGGGGGGCAGCAGUAGGGAAUCUUCCACAAUGGACGAAAGUCUGACGGAGCAACGCCGCGUGAACGAUUAAGGCUUUCGGGUCGUAAAGUUCUGUUGUAAGGGAAGAACAAGUGCCGCAGGCAAUGGCGGCACCUUGACGGUACCUUGCGAGAAAGCCACGGCUAACUACGUGCCAGCAGCCGCCGUAAGAC